CGGAUGAACGCUAGCGGCAGGCCUAAUACAUGCAAGUCGUACGGCAACACAGUUGCGAGCAAUCGCAACCGGUGGCGAGUGGCGCACGGGUGAGUAACGCGUAUGUAACCUACCCUUCUCCGGGACAUAACUCCGCGAAAGCGGUGCUAAUAUCCCAUACCAACUCAUCAAGACAUCUUCUUGAGUUGAAAGCAGCAAUGCGGUGAAGGAUGGGCAUGCGUCCAUUAGCUGGUUGGUGAGGUAAUGGCCCACCAAGGCUACGAUGGGUAGGGGUUCUGAGAGGAAAGCCCCCCACACUGGUACUGAGACACGGACCAGACUCCUACGGGAGGCAGCAGUAAGGAAUAUUGGGCAAUGGUCGAAAGACUGACCCAGCCAUGCCGCGUGCAGGAUGAAGGCCCUAUGGGUUGUAAACUGCUUUUAGCCGGGAAUAAACACCCGUUUUAUAACGGGCCCGAAGGUACCGGCUGAAUAAGCAUCGGCUAACUCCGUG
rnacentral:rRNA from 1 species